GAGUAACGCGUAUCCAACCUACCCAAUACUCAGGCAUAACCCGUUGAAAGACGGACUAAUUCCUGAUGGUAUGUAUUUUUCUCAUGAAUUAUACAUUAAAGAAUUUCGGUAUUGGAUGGGGAUGCGUCUGAUUAGUUUGUUGGUGAGGUAACGGCUCACCAAGACUUCGAUCAGUAGGGGUUCUGAGAGGAAGGUCCCCCACAUUGGAACUGAGACACGGUCCAAACUCCUACGGGAGGCAGCAGUGAGGAAUAUUGGUCAAUGGAUGCAAAUCUGAACCAGCCAAGUAGCGUGCAGGAUGACGGCCCUAUGGGUUGUAAACUGCUUUUAUGUGAGAAUAAAGUUAGGUAUGUAUACUUAUUUGCAUGUAUCACAUGAAUAAGGACCGGCUAAUUCCGUGCCAGCAGCCGCGGUAAUACGGAAGGUCCAGGCGUUAUCCGGAUUUAUUGGGUUUAAAGGGUGCGUAGGCCGUUUGAUAAGCGUGCUGUGAAAUAUAGUGGCUCAACCUCUAUCGUGCAGCGCGAACUG
rnacentral:rRNA from 1 species